GCCUCGGUAGCUCAUCAGGUAGAGCACAGAACUGAAGAUUCUGAGGGAGAAGUUCGAGUCUUCUCCAAGGCA
rfam:Triticum urartu cultivar G1812 contig226985, whole genome shotgun sequence.